UGGGCAAUCUCGCUUGAAGUGUCUGAUCUCAUUGCACUUGUAGCACCGAACCUCUUUCUUGCUUCUGCUCUUUUAGGACUUUCAUCAUCUCUUUGACUUGCCUCUUUCUUUUCCUCUUCCUGACCUCUCCCCCACAGCCAAGCCCUCCUGGGGAGCUCCAUCUUUGGUCAUCUUUUCCCACUGUUAAUUGGAGAGCAACAUCGAGACCAUGUCUUCAUACUCCAGAGUCUCCUUGCCAUACAACAGCGUCGUCACCAAUGGAUC
rnacentral:lncRNA from 1 species